rnacentral:rRNA from 1 species
CUGGCGGCGUGCCUAAUACAUGCAAGUCGAGCGAACCGAUGAGGAGCUUGCUCCUCUGACGUUAGCGGCGGACGGGUGAGUAACACGUGGAUAACCUACCUAUAAGACUGGGAUAACUUCGGGAAACCGGAGCUAAUACCGGAUAAUAUAUUGAACCGCAUGGUUCAAUAGUGAAAGACGGGUUUGCUGUCACUUAUAGAUGGAUCCGCGCCGCAUUAGCUAGUUGGUAAGGUAACGGCUUACCAAGGCAACGAUGCGUAGCCGACCUGAGAGGGUGAUCGGCCACACUGGAACUGAGACACGGUCCAGACUCCUACGGGAGGCAGCAGUAGGGAAUCUUCCGCAAUGGGCGAAAGCCUGACGGAGCAACGCCGCGUGAGUGAUGAAGGUCUUCGGAUCGUAAAACUCUGUUAUUAGGGAAGAACAAAUGUGUAAGUAACUAUGCACGUCUUGACGGUACCUAAUCAGAAAGCCACGGCUAACUACGUG